GAUGAACGCUAGCGACAGGCUUAACACAUGCAAGUCGAGGGGCAGCGGGGGUAGCAAUACCCGCCGGCGACCGGCGCACGGGUGAGUAACGCGUAUGCAACUUGCCUAUCAGAGGGGGAUAACCCGGCGAAAGUCGGACUAAUACCGCAUGAAGCAGGGGUCCCGCAUGGGGAUAUUUGCUAAAGAUUCAUCGCUGAUAGAUAGGCAUGCGUUCCAUUAGGCAGUUGGCGGGGUAACGGCCCACCAAACCGACGAUGGAUAGGGGUUCUGAGAGGAAGGUCCCCCACAUUGGAACUGAGACACGGUCCAA
rnacentral:rRNA from 1 species